rnacentral:misc_RNA from 1 species
AACGCACAUUGCGCCCUCUGGUAUUCCGGAGGGCAUGCCUGUUCGAGCGUCAUUAUCACCCUCAAGCCCGGCUUGUUGUUGGUUGUAGCGGUUCACAUCGCUCUACCCAAAGAUAAUGACGGCGUCUGUGAGGACUCCUGUACACUGAGCUUUCGGGCACGUACUAGGUUAGAACCGCAGACCCGGUCACUGUUUCCCCUCGUGGGAGACAUCACUUUUUACCAAGGUUGACCUCGGAUCAGGUAGGGAUACCCGCUGAACUUAA